CGUCAACCGUACGGUAUCCAGCUCCAAGCAUCUUGACGUCCGUCAUAUCUUCUCUGAGGCCUAAAGCAACAGGAUUCAUUCCGAGUGCAGAGCCACAACAUUCACCUUGCAGCGUCGAGGUCAGGAGGUUCACCACCAGCCACGGGGUUGUUACCACCUGCAGCCAUGCUGCUGCUACUUCUCUCCAUGUUGCACCUUGCCUCAGGGAUGAGCUUCAUGACUCCUGAAGGAGAAGCCACCCAGAGUCCUGGCUCCGCCGGGCUUGGAGGCCUGCUGCACAGCCCCCCACGCAGUACGACCACGAACCCGACACAGGCGGUUCCUGGGGCUGGCCACCCCCCUGAGACCACCCCCAUCUCCCCUGGAGUGCUCACCACGGCCCUUACCUCAUCCCCGCCCGCCGCGGUUGAGGAGGAGACCACCACAACCUUGAUCACCACCACCACUAUCACCACCAUGCACUCGCCAGUGCAGUGCAACGCCACACUAUCAGGGAUGGAGGACUCAGUGGAAUCCCCAGACCCAACUGCCUCCUCCUCCACCUCCUCCAUGACUCCCCUGGAGUGCACGUACAGCAUCACCGUGUACUCUGGAUACGGGGUGGAGAUCCAGGUGAGAAAGGUGAACCUCUCGAAAGAGGAGUCUCUGACCAUCCUUGGAUACGGAGGGGUGGGGCCAGAGUUGUUGGCCAAUGAGACCCUGAUGAGGGAGGGACAGGUGAUACGCAGCACAACCAACCAGGUGUACAUUCACUAUCGCAGUCUCCGCCAGACCAAUCACGGCAUGUUCAGCCUCCACUAUCAAGCCUUUCUGCUGUACUGUCCCUUUCCGGCGUCCCCUGAAGGGGGGGGCGUGACCGUGACGGAUAUUCAUCCAGGAGGUCAGGCCCACUUCCACUGUGACCCCGGCUUCCAGGUCAGGGGUCAUGAGACCGCGACAUGUGUGAACGCCACGCAGCCCCACUGGAGCACGCCGGAGCCGCAGUGUGUUGCUGUGUCUUGCGGCGGAUGGAUUCCUAAUGCCACUGUGGGCCGCAUACUCUCCCCUCCGCCACCAUCUGUCAGCAACCAUAGCAACGGCAACAACCUGAGCUGCCAUUGGUUGAUCGAGGCCCGGGAUGGGCACAAGCUCCACCUCCACUUUGAGAGGGUAGCCCUUGAUGAGGAUGAGGAUAAGCUCCUGGUGCGCAACGGGAACAGCUCUCAGGCCCCGGUGCUGUUCGACUCGGACCUGGACGACGUACCGGAGCGGGGGCUUGUGAGCGAGGGCUCCACGCUGUACCUGGAGCUGACCACAGACUCCUCCUCCAUCCCCCUGCUCCUUGCCCUGCGCUACGAGGCUUUUGAUGGGGAACAUUGCUGGGAACCCUACAUGCCCCACGGUAACUUCAGCAGUUCGGACAUCACCUUCCAGCUAGGCACGGUGGUAACAUUUGCCUGCUCCCCGGGCUUCGUCAUGGAGCAGGGGUCAGGCUCCAUCGAAUGCGUGGACCCCAGCGACCCGCGCUGGAACGAGAGCGAGCCAGUGUGCCGGGCUGUGUGUGGGGGGGACCUGAUGGAGCCCUCAGGCACCGUGCUAUCUCCUGAUUGGCCACAGAGCUACUCCAAGGGGCAGGACUGUGUGUGGCAGAUCCAUGGCAACGAGGAGAAGCGCAUUGAGCUAGAUGUGCAGAUUUUGAACAUACGCCACAAUGACGUGCUGACCGUCUACGAUGGACAUGACCUCAUGUCCCACGUGAUUGGCCAGUACCUGGGGUCCAGAGAGCGCUUCCAGGUGGUGUCAGGCGGGUCAGAGAUCACCAUUCAGUUCCAGAGCGAUCCCGAUGAUUCCAGCUUCAUCCUCAGCCAGGGGUUCCUGAUUCAUUAUCGCGAGGUGGAGCCAAAUGACACCUGCCCCACCCUCCCUCAGAUUGAGUUUGGGUGGAUAAGCUCCUCCCAUUCCACCCCUGUCCGAGGCAGUGUCUUGACCUAUCAAUGCCAACCAGGAUAUGACAUCAGUGGUUCUGACAUCAUCACUUGCCAAUGGGAUCUCUCAUGGAGCAACAGUCCUCCUACGUGUGUCAAAGUACAGCAAUGCCCUGAUCCUGGGGAGGUGGUGAACGGAGCUCGCUCCGUGAGGCCCGAGGCUGGCUUUGCGGUCGGCACGGUAGUCCGCUUCUCCUGUAACCAAGGUUACCAGCUGGAAGGCCCCAGCCAAAUCUCCUGCCAUGCCCGGGACACUGGCACACCAAAGUGGAGUGACCGCAGCCCAAAAUGCGUCCUGAAGUACGACCCGUGUCCGAACCCGGGCGUUCCCGACAACGGUUACCAGACACUAUACAAGCACAGUUACCAGGCGGGGGAGACCCUGCGCUUCUUCUGCUAUGAGAACUACGAGCUGGUGGGUGAGGUCAUCAUCCACUGCAUCCCAGGACACCCCUCCCAGUGGAACAGCCCGCCACCAUUUUGUAAAGUGGCCUACGAGGAUCUCUUGGAUGACCACAAGUUAGAAGUUUCCCAGUCGUUCGAACCUUCUCACCAGAUCCUGAGCGAGAACAUUGCUUUGGCAAUCAUCUUGCCAAUCAUCCUGGUCAUCCUUCUAAUUGGAGGAAUUUACAUGUAUUAUACAAAAUCCUCAUCAUUCAUUGGCUCAUCCAAAGGUCGCUCUCCAUUGUCAUUCUGCUCGCCUCAACCAGCCAGAAUCGACGUGCCUGUUUAACACCAUGCUUCAUCUGUAGACUGGAAUGGAAGCCUCUUUUCUGGAAGACCUUUUCCCAUACACACUCUUAUAGUCCGAUAACAGUGGAGUCAGAUUUCAACAACCCUCUGUAUGAGGCUGGGGAUACACGAGAAUAUGAAGUAUCCAUUUAAUGGAGUGAGAGAGAGAAACAAAACUCUUUCCAAACCACAAAGAUUAAUAAAAACAAAACAUACUCCAAGAGGGCCAGUACCCGUGUAAUACUCUUCUCCAUGUAUUUAUUUUGUACUACCCACCGUGACCCCAAACAUAGCCCUGUAAUGUGAUCCAUCAGAGGCGUUGUGGGUCUCCUCUCUGCCGCCUGACUUGCUCCGUCAUUGAGAUUGGUGCCUUGCGAAAAAAAGUAGGUUUCAAAAUGAAAAAAACUACCAAAACGAUGUGAAAACUUUGCAAUACUAGACACUGGUCAAUGCAAAAACAGGCAUGAACGAACAUUGUGGUUCAUUUUAUUUAUUAACAAUUCAUAUUAAAUCUAAAUAUGAAUAAAGAUGCAUAGAUAUAUCCAUAUUUACAUAACACAUAAUGCUCAUUAAUCACCAGUAUUUCUGAUUUGUUUCUACCCCUGUAUCUGUAAGGUUUCUGUAUAAUAUAAACUCACCCAGACACAUACAUUGAAUGUAAAUAUUUAACCUAUUAUUGAGGCUCAUAUAUAUAAAUAUAUAAAUAUAUACACUUAUACAUGGUGGGGGUUGGGGUUGGGUGUAUUUUCAUUAUAUAUCUGUAAUGAACAAUUCAGUGCCAAAAUAUAAAGUUGCAUAAUUUAGUGUUUCAUCUCUUGUUGCCAUAGUGUUUAAGACAUGGAUAUUUAGAAAGCCAGCAUUUAAUUUAAAUCUUUGCUGUUUUUGGAGUGUAUUUUUCACAUGACAAUGUGGAUCCGGCUGCAGCAUAAUGACAUGAAUGUCAUUAUGUGUACAUGCCUACACGCAGCAUGCACUGAUUGUAAAUGACAUUGCUUCUACCGAAACGUUCCAUUAUAGUUAUUGGACAUUGACAUUGUUAUCAGAUUUGAUGUUGUAUGCACUAUGUUGAUGGGGUGUGGGGGGGGGGGGGGGGAUACAACCUUGGCUGCUUGCUCUAAUACAUUAUGUAUUUAUUUACAACUGUUUGAACAGUGAACUUAGCGCCUUUCACUGUGUCAUAUAUGAAGAAUUCUGGGGACAGCGGCUUUGUAGAGAAUAUUCUUCUGUUAUCAUUAGUAGUUUUAUUUGCUUUAUAGAUACACACUCUUUUAAAGGAGUUCCUUUUGCUGAACUUGAAAUAAAGUCUGUUGAAUGGUGUUA